GAUGAACGCUGGCGGCGUGCCUAAUACAUGCAAGUCGAGCGAACGGACGAGAAGCUUGCUUCUCUGAUGUUAGCGGCGGACGGGUGAGUAACACGUGGAUAACCUACCUAUAAGACUGGGAUAACUUCGGGAAACCGGAGCUAAUACCGGAUAAUAUUUUGAACCGCAUGGUUCAAAAGUGAAAGACGGUCUUGCUGUCACUUAUAGAUGGAUCGGCGCUGCAUUAGCUAGUUGGUAAGGUAACGGCUUACCAAGGCAACGAUGGAUAGCCGACCUGAGAGGGUGAUCGGCCACACUGGAACUGAGACACGGUCCAGACUCCUACGGGAGGCAGCAGUAGGGAAUCUUCCGCAAUGGGCGAAAGCCUGACGGAGCAACGCCGCGUGAGUGAUGAAGGUCUUCGGAUCGUAAAACUCUGUUAUUAGGGAAGAACAGAUGUGUAAGUAACUGUGCACAUCUUGACGGUACCUAAUCAGAAAGCAACGGCUAACUACGUG
rnacentral:rRNA from 1 species